UCGCUACUACCGAUUGAAUGGUUUAGUGAGGCCUUCGGAUCGGCAACUCGUUUGCUGAAAAGUUGGACAAACUACAUCAUUUAGAGGAAGUAAAAGUCGUAACAAGGUUUCCG
rnacentral:rRNA from 1 species